GCUCAGGUGGAACCGUGGGCGGAAGGGAAGUGGGUGUAUCUCUUCCCUGCUGCGGGGGAAUAAUGCCUGGGAGCCCGGAGAAUACCCGGGGCUCGGUUUUGCAGCUGUUGCCCUGAGGGGGCCAAUCGGGGGCAGCGGCGCGCGAGAGAGGCGAGAGGGGGCUGCUCAGCUGGAAACGGAGCAGCUUUCCCUUGUCCGCCCGGAUCAAGCUCAGAGCCAGGAUUGAACCAGCCGCGGCGGCGGCACAUGUGGCCGAGUGAAACCUACCAGCGCCCUGCAGAGCGCGCCAGGGAAGGGAGCGCACAGCCGCAAAGGAGACCCGCCAGACGCAGCGGGCCUGGGGGUGACCAUUGCACCGCUCCCCCGAUCCCCUCCAGCCCGGGGGGACCCCGGAGCAGAGAACCCCGGCGCCCGAGGGGAAGAGACCCGGCCGGGCGGCCCCCUGACCUCUCCGGAUCCUGCGACCAGCUGUUGACGGACUUGCAAGCGCAGGGGGAGGGCGGCUGCCUGCGGACCCGGCGCCGCCGGCCGAAAGGGGCGAGCGGGCGCUGAAGGACGGACUGGCUCCCUUCGCCCAGGCUCCUCCCUGAGCCGGAUCGGCCGAGGAGCCGGGGCCAGGAGGCGGCUGGGACAUCGCCCCGGCGGGGCUGGGCUGGUGACCUUGCUGGGAUGCCGGCGCCGGUGCCCCCUCCCUCCAGCCAGCCGCGUAGCGGGGCUCUCACGCCGGGGACACAGAGGCGAGGCGGCCGGGCAGCGAGCGGGGCCGGGCAGGCGGAUUCUUAGCGCCCGAAGUGGGAUCCCCCUGGGGCGGGCGGGAGAGAAGCCGGCGCCCGGCUGGAUGCCCACACGCCCAGAGGGAGGCGGCCGCGGCUGGGCUCGGGGCAGCGGGCUAGGUCCUCCUCCUCCCCCAGCACGGUUCUCCUUCUCCCGCUGGGAGCCGGGCGCCCGAUGUUCACCGACCUUCGAGCCAAGCUCAGCCCCCCGAGAGGCCGAGACGGGGCUCUGAAAAGGAGCUACGGCGCCCCGAACGAGAUGGACGCCGCAGCCGCGCACUUCAGCUUCUGCCGGAACCUCCUGGAGCACACGGUGUCGGCCGAAAACCUCAAUUACCGUCUGCAGCGGAACACGGGCAGCAGCCUCACCUGGCACGACGGGCGGAGUCAGAGGUCAGCAGGAGGCAGGACCGUCAAGCUCCUACAGCAGCCGGGAACCGAAGGCUCACAGAGUCGUCCCUGUGAUCACUAUGGCAUUUACCAUACCAGCCCCACGCUAGGCAGCCUUACCAAGCCGGUGGUGUUAUGGACCCAACAGGAUGUGUGCAGAUGGCUAAAGAAACACUGUCCCCAUAACUAUCUCAUCUAUGUGGAGGCCUUUUCCCAUCACGCUAUCACAGGUCGGGCACUGUUGCGGCUGAACGCAGAGAAGCUGCAGCGUAUGGGCAUUAUUCACGAGUCUCAGCGGCAGGAGGUCCUCCAGCAAGUCCUGCAACUCCAGGUGCGGGAGGAGGUCCGGAACCUACAGCUGCUCAGCCAAGACCCAAGCCACAGCUGGGGACCCUCCAUGGUGCCUUAGCCUGCUGUCCCAGGAUUUCUCAAGGCUCAAGCCCAAAAUGAGGACUGCAAGGGAAUAGAGGAGGAAACUUGGAACAAUACAGGACUGAAUUCUCUGACGCUGCUUCCUUUAGGGCCAUAUUCCCGACCUUCUUUUGGAAACGUCUCCUAGCCGAGCAGUCUGUUCGGCAGAUUGUUUCAACACUGUGAACCGAGCACCUCUGGGAUGGACUGUGGACCACAGAUAUGAAAACCUGAAUCGCAUGCUUGGAAUAUAAAGAGACAGUUUCCAAACCACUCAUGGGUCUUCUCUCCCUCCCUUCUCUCUCUCUCUCGCUCUCUCUUUUAUUAAUAUUUUCCUGUGCAGAGAUCAGACAUUUUCUCCAGCAGACAUGGCUGACAAUUAGAGGCAAACUAGGAAAAUGGUCACCAGGACAUGUGACAUGCUCCCCUCUGGGAUCCAGUCAAUCACAGGGGGAAAGACCUCAAAAUGAAUGUGGUAGCUGGAGACAGUUCAUUUUAAGGUCAUUCUUAGGACUAAUGACAUGGUCAUUCUUGGGACUAAUCAAAACCAUGCACCAUGAAACCACAUGUGCCCAAUGACAUGCUUUAACCAGGAGGCCCUCUGGGCCCAGUGGAGGCUGCAGAUGUCCCCAGACUCCGCUAGUGUCAAUGCCUCGGAGCUUACUGGGGAAGCUUUAGUUCUCUCUUCAGACUGGGCUGUCUUCCAGUGUCCUAGGAGAUAACGUUAGCAGCAGCAAAUAAGAUGACUGGACAAGCCAGAAAAACUAACGGCAGAGCCAAGCCCCCGGAGAUUGGCUUCGCUUUGUGAAUUAAAGAGCUGAGUCACCGAAGCCAGAACGCUUACCCAUAAAAGAGAAAAUGCAGGAUCCACACACUCGACGAGGUCACUGUGACCUCUGGGAAGCAACACCAGGAAACGUUCAUUGGGCUGGCCUCGUCCUCAUUUAUGGGAAUAUGGAGGAACCAUGAUUAGUUGGUCUGCUUUGGCACCACCCACCUCUGUGACUGGUUUCUGCACUGCCGAUGCAGUCAGAGCUGAGGGAGAACAGGCAGUCCUCUUUGUAAAGCUCAGAAAUGCUGGCUGAGGGAAACUAUGCCGUGGCCAAAGGCCUUGCCUGGCUGUCAGCCUACAAAACGGCAAGCUCCUAACAGUUCGUGAAGCUCACACUGGCUGUAUUUAUAAUGCGGUGGAGCCUCCGGGGUAGUUUGGUUCAACAGGAUGUGGCGGCAGGACUGGGCAGGAGACUGGCUUAAGGGCUAAGAAUCAAGGGUUCUUUGAUGCAAUAGUCCAUUGCUUUUGUGUCCUCUCAUACCCUUCAUCUAGAGAACUCCUUAUAAAACCUCCAUGUUUGUUUA